rnacentral:tRNA from 1 species
GCUUUCGCUCAGCGGUAGAGCAUCUGCUUGGCGUGGAGAAAAUCCCAGGUUCAGUUCUUGGCAUCUCCA